UUAAGCGACUAAGCGUACACGGUGGAUGCCCUGGCAGUCAGAGGCGAUGAAGGACGUGCUAAUCUGCGAAAAGCGUCGGUAAGGUGAUAUGAACCGUUAUAACCGGCGAUGUCCGAAUGGGGAAACCCAGUGUGAUUCGUCACACUAUCGUUAACUGAAUACAUAGGUUAACGAGGCGAACCGGGGGAACUGAAACAUCUAAGUACCCCGAGGAAAAGAAAUCAACCGAGAUUCCCCCAGUAGCGGCGAGCGAACGGGGAGCAGCCCAGAGUCUGAAUCAGCUUGUGUGUUAGUGGAACGGUCUGGAAAGUCCGACGGUACAGGGUGAUAGUCCCGUACACCAAAAUGCACAGGUUGUGAACUCGAAGAGUAGGGCGGGACACGUGGUAUCCUGUCUGAAUAUGGGGGGACCAUCCUCCAAGGCUAAAUACUCCUGACUGACCGAUAGUGAACCAGUACCGUGAGGGAAAGGCGAAAAGAACCCCGGCGAGGGGAGUGAAAAAGAACCUGAAACCGUGUACGUACAAGCAGUGGGAGCACCUUCGGGUGUGACUGCGUACCUUUUGUAUAAUGGGUCAGCGACUUAUAUUCUGUAGCAAGGUUAACCGUAUAGGGGAGCCGCAGGGAAACCGAGUCUUAACUGGGCGUUAAGUUGCAGGGUAUAGACCCGAAACCCGGUGAUCUAGCCAUGGGCAGGUUGAAGGUUGGGUAACACUAACUGGAGGACCGAACCGACUAAUGUUGAAAAAUUAGCGGAUGACUUGUGGCUGGGGGUGAAAGGCCAAUCAAACCGGGAGAUAGCUGGUUCUCCCCGAAAGCUAUUUAGGUAGCGCCUCGUGAAUUCAUCUUCGGGGGUAGAGCACUGUUUCGGCUAGGGGGUCAUCCCGACUUACCAACCCGAUGCAAACUACGAAUACCGAAGAAUGUUAUCACGGGAGACACACGGCGGGUGCUAACGUCCGUCGUGAAGAGGGAAACAACCCAGACCGCCAGCUAAGGUCCCAAAGUCAUGGUUAAGUGGGAAACGAUGUGGGAAGGCACAGACAGCCAGGAUGUUGGCUUAGAAGCAGCCAUCAUUUAAAGAAAGCGUAAUAGCUCACUGGUCGAGUCGGCCUGCGCGGAAGAUGUAACGGGGCUAAACCAUGCACCGAAGCUGCGGCAGCGACACUAUGUGUUGUUGGGUAGGGGAGCGUUCUGUAAGCCUGCGAAGGUGACCUGUGAGGGUUGCUGGAGGUAUCAGAAGUGCGAAUGCUGACAUAAGUAACGAUAAAGCGGGUGAAAAGCCCGCUCGCCGGAAGACCAAGGGUUCCUGUCCAACGUUAAUCGGGGCAGGGUGAGUCGACCCCUAAGGCGAGGCCGAAAGGCGUAGUCGAUGGGAAACAGGUUAAUAUUCCUGUACUUGGUGUUACUGCGAAGGGGGGACGGAGAAGGCUAUGUUAGCCGGGCGACGGUUGUCCCGGUUUAAGCAUGUAGGCUGGUUGUCCAGGCAAAUCCGGAUAAUCAAGGCUGAGGUGUGAUGACGAGGCACUACGGUGCUGAAGUAACAAAUGCCCUGCUUCCAGGAAAAGCCUCUAAGCAUCAGGUAACAUCAAAUCGUACCCCAAACCGACACAGGUGGUCAGGUAGAGAAUACCAAGGCGCUUGAGAGAACUCGGGUGAAGGAACUAGGCAAAAUGGUGCCGUAACUUCGGGAGAAGGCACGCUGGUGUGUAGGUGAAGUCCCUGCGGAUGGAGCUGAGACCAGUCGAAGAUACCAGCUGGCUGCAACUGUUUAUUAAAAACACAGCACUGUGCAAACACGAAAGUGGACGUAUACGGUGUGACGCCUGCCCGGUGCCGGAAGGUUAAUUGAUGGGGUUAUCCGUAAGGAGAAGCUCUUGAUCGAAGCCCCGGUAAACGGCGGCCGUAACUAUAACGGUCCUAAGGUAGCGAAAUUCCUUGUCGGGUAAGUUCCGACCUGCACGAAUGGCGUAAUGAUGGCCAGGCUGUCUCCACCCGAGACUCAGUGAAAUUGAACUCGCUGUGAAGAUGCAGUGUACCCGCGGCAAGACGGAAAGACCCCGUGAACCUUUACUAUAGCUUGACACUGAACAUUGAGCCUUGAUGUGUAGGAUAGGUGGGAGGCUUUGAAGCGUGGACGCCAGUCUGCGUGGAGCCAACCUUGAAAUACCACCCUUUAAUGUUUGAUGUUCUAACGUUGGCCCCUGACCGGGGUUGCGGACAGUGUCUGGUGGGUAGUUUGACUGGGGCGGUCUCCUCCCAAAGCGUAACGGAGGAGCACGAAGGUUAGCUAAUCCUGGUCGGACAUCAGGAGGUUAGUGCAAUGGCAUAAGCUAGCUUGACUGCGAGCGUGACGGCGCGAGCAGGUGCGAAAGCAGGUCAUAGUGAUCCGGUGGUUCUGAAUGGAAGGGCCAUCGCUCAACGGAUAAAAGGUACUCCGGGGAUAACAGGCUGAUACCGCCCAAGAGUUCAUAUCGACGGCGGUGUUUGGCACCUCGAUGUCGGCUCAUCACAUCCUGGGGCUGAAGUAGGUCCCAAGGGUAUGGCUGUUCGCCAUUUAAAGUGGUACGCGAGCUGGGUUUAGAACGUCGUGAGACAGUUCGGUCCCUAUCUGCCGUGGGCGCUGGAGAAUUGAGGGGGGCUGCUCCUAGUACGAGAGGACCGGAGUGGACGCAUCACUGGUGUUCGGGUUGUCAUGCCAAUGGCACUGCCCGGUAGCUAAAUGCGGAAGAGAUAAGUGCUGAAAGCAUCUAAGCACGAAACUUGCCCCGAGAUGAGUUCUCCCUGAGACUUUAAGUCUCCUGAAGGAACGUUGAAGACGACGACGUUGAUAGGCCGGGUGUGUAAGCGCAGCGAUGCGUUGAGCUAACCGGUACUAAUGAACCGUGAGGCUUAACCUU
rnacentral:rRNA from 1 species